rnacentral:rRNA from 1 species
AUGUCGUCCCUCAACUCGCUCUUCAACCGCUCCUCCCCCUUCGGCACCAAAUGCAAAACAUGCUUGAAUUUGAUCAUUUCGAGGAUCAAGCUGCUGCGCAAUAGGAGGGAAAUGCAACUGAUAAAUAUGCGCAAAGAGAUGGUUCAGUAUCUUCAGACAGGCCAAGAGUCUAUUGCGAGGAUUCGGGUGGAGCAUAUUAUUCGGGAGCAAAAUAUAUUGGCUGCCUAUGAGAUUGUCGAGCUUUUCUGUGAAUUUGUUCUGGCACGAGUCCCUAUUGUUGAGGCCCAAAAGGAAUGCCCCAUAGAAUUGAGAGAAGCAAUAGCUAGUAUAAUCUUUGCAUCAGGAAGAUGCUCAGACUUGCCUGAGCUAAUGCAUCUCCGUAAUUUGUUUACCACCAAGUAUGGGAAGGAUUUUGUUGCUGCUGCUAUGGAAUUGCGCCCUGAUUGCGGUGUUAAUCGCACAAUAAUUGAGAAGCUUUCAGUUAAGGCUCCAUCAGCGGAAUCAAAGUUGAAGGUUUUGAAAGCUAUUGCUCAUGAGUACAAUCUUGACUGGGAUUCAUCUAAUACCGAAGCAGAAUUCAAUAAGAAAUACGAAGAUCUGCUGGAUGAUUCUGGAUCAUCAGUCCGCCAAGGCCAAACACCUGCAAUUGAGAGCCCUCCAGCCUCUUCCAUUUCCAAAGAUAAGCCAUCGAUUCUACCUGUCAACGACACAAGCAAAAAUAGAACUCCCGAGUCCCCAAAGUCACCUGCUGUGAGUUCAAGAGCAUAUGCUGCCACCAAGAGUAAUGUGGUCAGUCAAGAGCAUCAGCCCCCUGCUGCGGAGAGAUCAUCCUGCGCUGGCCCAGGCUCGUCGGACGUACUAGAAAAGGCCCGAGCUGCCAUUGCUGCAGCCACCCGUGCCUCCGCCGCUGCCCGUGCAGCAGCAGAGCUUGUUAACAAGGUUAAAGUUACAACUCAAUGA